rnacentral:rRNA from 1 species
CCUACGGGCGGCAGCAGUGAGGAAUAUUGGUCAAUGGACGAGAGUCUGAACCAGCCAAGUAGCGUGAAGGAUGACUGCCCUAUGGGUUGUAAACUUCUUUUAUAUGGGAAUAAAAUGUUCCACGUGUGGGAUUUUGUAUGUACCAUAUGAAUAAGGAACGGCUAACUCCGUGCCAGCAGCCGCGGUAAUACGGAGGAUCCGAGCGUUAUCCGGAUUUAUUGGGUUUAAAGGGAGCGUAGGUGGAUUGUUAAGUCAGUUGUGAAAGUUUGAGGCUCAACCGUAAAAUUGCAGUUGAAACUGGCAGUCUUGAGUACAGUAGAGGUGGGCGGAAUUCGUGGUGUAGCGGUGAAAUGCUUAGAUAUCACGAAGAACUCCGAUUGCGAAGGCAGUUCACUGGACUGCAACUGACACUGAGGCUCGAAAGUGUGGGUAUCAAACAGGAUUAGAUACCCCUGUAGUC